AGAUGGGCUUUCCUCUCCUUCCCUCAUGUUCUGCUUUCCUCCUUAGGCCAGGUGCUGUGUGUGCUGCCGUCUGUCUGUAUUUUCUUCAAGGAUAAGCUUUCACCUUCAGUCAGAAGAUGGUAUCUGCAUAUAUCUGGAGGCAUUUUAGGAAAUAAACUGUGACCAGUGCCAUAAUGCUGAUUUAUUAACCAUUGUAACCUUUACAUUUUUUAAUGGGUUUUGUUCUUAUUUGAUAAGCUGAGCUCAACAGCAAAAAUGUGUGUGUGUGUGUGUUUUUUUUUUUAGGUCUUGAUGAUGAUGGUGAUCUUAAAGGUGGAAAUAAAGCUGCCAUUCAGGGAAACGGGGAUGUGGGAGCCGCCGCCGCCACCGCGCACAACGGCUUCUCCUGCAGCAACUGCAGCAUGCUGUCCGAGCGCAAGGACGUGCUCACGGCGCACCCCGCGGCCCCCGGGCCCGUGUCGAGAGUUUAUUCUAGGGACAGGAAUCAAAAAUGCGGUGCGUCUUUCUACGUGAAUAGGAUUUUGUGGCUGGCCAGAUACACUGCAUCAUCUUUUUCAUCAUUUUUAGUU
rnacentral:lncRNA from 1 species